rnacentral:misc_RNA from 1 species
GAUGAUGAUGAUGAUGUUCUUCUUUAUUCUUUUCUGGUUUUUCUUUUUACUUGGGUCAGAUGAGAUGAUAGCUUCUAUCUUUACAAGUGCAUGUGUGAUCUUUAUAUACAUAAAUGUAAAGGGGGUAAGUUUGUUUAGUAUUGGGUCUCCUUUUUUAUGUAUAGAUCUGAUCUAUAAACUCCUAAAAAUCUAUGGUUUUUUCGCUUCCCAUAUUUAUGUGGAAUAUAUAUAUAAUAGAUCUAGCAUAUUUAGGCCAAAAUUAUAUAUAUUUUUUUAUUUUGUUUUGUUCUUAAAAUAUCUAAAUAUAUAUUUAUAUAUCCUGAAAGCUGCCUCUUUCUUCUCAUUCUCCACCCUUACUCUAUGCAUAUAUCAUUACCCUACCCAUUUAAAUAUUUUAAUGAAGAGAUGUCUACUUAACUUAGUUUUCAUUCAUUUUUAUGAAUUUAUUUCAUUUUCUGGGUCAUAAAUAGAAUGCAUAUUUG